CAGUCGCCACGGUAACACGUAGGGUGCAAGCGUUAAUCGGAAUUACUGGGCGUAAAGCGUGCGCAGACGGUUCGCUAAGACAGAUGUGAAAUCCCCGGGCUUAACCUGGGAACUGCAUUUGUGACUGGCGGGCUAGAGUAUGGCAGAGGGGGGUAGAAUUCCACGUGUAGCAGUGGAAUGCGUAGAGAUGUGGAGGAAUACCGAUGGCGAAGGCAGCCCCCUGGGCCAAUACUGACGCUCAUGCACGAAAGCGUGGGGAGCAAACAGGAUUAGAUACCCGUGUAGUCCCUGUCUCUUAUCC
rnacentral:rRNA from 1 species